rnacentral:rRNA from 1 species
GACGAACGCUGGCGGCGUGCUUAACACAUGCAAGUCGAACGGAAAGGCCCUGCUUUUGUGGGGUGCUCGAGUGGCGAACGGGUGAGUAACACGUGAGUAACCUGCCCUUGACUUUGGGAUAACUUCAGGAAACUGGGGCUAAUACCGGAUAGGAGCUCCUGCUGCAUGGUGGGGGUUGGAAAGUUUCGGCGGUUGGGGAUGGACUCGCGGCUUAUCAGCUUGUUGGUGGGGUAGUGGCUUACCAAGGCUUUGAAGGGUAGCCGGCCUGAGAGGGUGACCGGCCACAUUGGGACUGAGAUACGCCCCAGACUCCUACGGGAGGCAGCAGUGGGGAAUAUUGCGCAAUGGGCGGAAGCCUGAUGCAGCAACGCCGCGUGCGGGAUGACGGCCUUCGGGUUAUAAACCGCUUUCGCCUGUGACGAAGCGUGAGUGACGGUAAUGGGUAAAGAAGCACCGGCUAACUACGUG